rnacentral:rRNA from 1 species
AUGAACGCUAGCUACAGGCUUAACACAUGCAAGUCGAGGGGCAGCAUGGUCUUAGCUUGCUAAGGCCGAUGGCGACCGGCGCACGGGUGAGUAACACGUAUCCAACCUGCCGUCUACUCUUGGACAGCCUUCUGAAAGGAAGAUUAAUACAAGAUGGCAUCAUGAGUCCGCAUGUUCACAUGAUUAAAGGUAUUCCGGUAGACGAUGGGGAUGCGUUCCAUUAGAUAGUAGGCGGGGUAACGGCCCACCUAGUCUUCGAUGGAUAGGGGUUCUGAGAGGAAGGUCCCCCACAUUGGAACUGAGACACGGUCCAAACUCCUACGGGAGGCAGCAGUGAGGAAUAUUGGUCAAUGGGCGAGAGCCUGAACCAGCCAAGUAGCGUGAAGGAUGACUGCCCUAUGGGUUGUAAACUUCUUUUAUAAAGGAAUAAAGUCGGGUAUGGAUACCCGUUUGCAUGUACUUUAUGAAUAAGGAUCGGCUAACUCCGUGCCAGCAGCCGCGGUAAUACGGAGGAUCCGAGCGUUAUCCGGAUUUAUUGGGUUUAAAGGGAGCGUAGAUGGAUGUUUAAGUCAGUUGUGAAAGUUUGCGGCUCAACCGUAAAAUUGCAGUUGAUACUGGAUAUCUUGAGUGCAGUUGAGGCAGGCGGAAUUCGUGGUGUAGCGGUGAAAUGCUUAGAUAUCACGAAGAACUCCGAUUGCGAAGGCAGCCUGCUAAGCUGCAACUGACAUUGAGGCUCGAAAGUGUGGGUAUCAAACAGGAUUAGAUACCCUGGUAGUCCACACGGUAAACGAUGAAUACUCGCUGUUUGCGAUAUACAGCAAGCGGCCAAGCGAAAGCGUUAAGUAUUCCACCUGGGGAGUACGCCGGCAACGGUGAAACUCAAAGGAAUUGACGGGGGCCCGCACAAGCGGAGGAACAUGUGGUUUAAUUCGAUGAUACGCGAGGAACCUUACCCGGGCUUAAAUUGCAGAUGAAUUACGGUGAAAGCCGUAAGCCGCAAGGCAUCUGUGAAGGUGCUGCAUGGUUGUCGUCAGCUCGUGCCGUGAGGUGUCGGCUUAAGUGCCAUAACGAGCGCAACCCUUGUUGUCAGUUACUAACAGGUUCCGCUGAGGACUCUGACAAGACUGCCAUCGUAAGAUGUGAGGAAGGUGGGGAUGACGUCAAAUCAGCACGGCCCUUACGUCCGGGGCUACACACGUGUUACAAUGGGGGGUACAGAGGGCCGCUACCACGCGAGUGGAUGCCAAUCCCCAAAACCUCUCUCAGUUCGGACUGGAGUCUGCAACCCGACUCCACGAAGCUGGAUUCGCUAGUAAUCGCGCAUCAGCCAUGGCGCGGUGAAUACGUUCCCGGGCCUUGUACACACCGCCCGUCAAGCCAUGGAAGCCGGGGGUGCCUGAAGUCCGUAACCGCGAGGAUCGGCCUAGGGCAAAACUGGUAACUGGGGCU